rnacentral:rRNA from 1 species
UAGGGAAUCUUCGGCAAUGGGGGGAACCCUGACCGAGCAACGCCGCGUGAGUGAAGAAGGUUUUCGGAUCGUAAAGCUCUGUUGUUAAGGAAGAACGAGUGUGAGAAUGGAAAGUUCAUACUGUGACGGUACUUAACCAGAAAGGGACGGCUAACUACGUUCCAGCAGCCGCGGUAAUACGUAGGUCCCGAGCGUUGUCCGGAUUUAUUGGGCGUAAAGCGAGCGCAGGCGGUUAGAUAAGUCUGAAGUUAAAGGCAGUGGCUCAACCAUUGUAGGCUUUGGAAACUGUUUAACUUGAGUGCAGAAGGGGAGAGUGGAAUUCCAUGUGUAACGGUGAAAUGCGUAGAUAUAUGGAGGAACACCGGUGGCGAAAGCGGCUCUCUGGUCUGUAACUGACGCUGAGGCUCGAAAGCGUGGGGAGCGAACAGG